rnacentral:lncRNA from 1 species
UGAAUUUGAGAUUAGUGAACCCACGCUCAAUAUACUGCACAAUCAUCCACACAUAAUUCAAAAAAAAAAAUUCAACCCUUUUUGAUUUUGUACAAUUUUUCCCCUUUCUUUUCGUUGGGACUCAUAAUCACAUUGAAAUCUCUCCUCAUACUCCAAAGACCAUGUAUCAUGCCAUUUCAAUGUCUAAGAUUGUCCCAUGGUGAGAGUCUGAAAUGUUGCUUGGUUUUGACAUAAAUAAAAGAUAACCAAAAGUAUCAUCAGUGCUUGUCGUGAUGACUUUGGUAGUAAAUAACAACAACAAUAACAUAUCUAGUGAAAUUCCACAAGUGAAGUCUGAAAAAUAUUAAGUGUAGUUGCACAAGAGGGAUUCAAACCCUCAACCCUAGCUCCUUAAUGUAGCCAGUACCACUGGGCUGUGUUCCAUUUUUUGUAGUAAAUAACAUAUUGGAAUGUGAGUUGUUUUGAAGAUUGACAGAGCAGUGGAACAGAAAUAACAAACAAUUAGAUUCACCUGGUCCAUCGUUGCAAGUUCAAUCUGCAGUUGAGAUACUGAUGAUCGUUGACUUUGAACUCAAGCAACACAAGCUAAGGAAAGUAAUGAUGCUGAAUCGAGACACACUUUUCUUCCUAC